ACCUACAGCCAUACCACCCUGAAUGUGCAUGAUCUUGUCUGAGUUUGGAAACUAAGCAGGGUUAGGCCUGCUUAGUACUUAGGUG
rnacentral:rRNA from 1 species